rnacentral:rRNA from 1 species
UACGAGAGGUCCAAACGUUAUUCGGAAUCACUGGGCUUACAGAGUUCGUAGGCGGUCCAGAAAGUGGGGUGUGAAAGCCCUCGGCUCAACCGAGGAACAGCGCUCCAAACUACUGGACUAGAGGAAGAUAGAGGUGAGCAGAACUGAUGGUGGAGCGGUGAAAUGCGUUGAUAUCAUCAGGAAUACCGGAGGCGAAAGGCGGCUCACUGGGUCUUUUCUGACGCUGAGGAACGAAAGCUAGGGGAGCAAACGGG